UGGCGGCGUGCUUACACAUGCAAGUCGAACGAAGCAAUUUUCUACGAUCCCUUCGGGGUGACGGAUUAUUGACUGAGUGGCGGACGGGUGAGUAACGCGUGGGUAACCUACCUUGUACAGGGGGACAACAGUUGGAAACGACUGCUAAUACCGCAUAAGCGCACAGCAUCGCAUGAUGCAGUGUGAAAAGUUUUUUCGGUACAAGAUGGACCCGCGUCUGAUUAGCUAGUUGGUGAGGUAACGGCCCACCAAGGUCGACGAUCAGUAGCCGACCUGAGAGGGUGACCGGCCACAUUGGGACUGAGACACGGCCCAAACUCCUACGGGAGGCAGCAGUGGGGAAUAUUGCACAAUGGGCGAAAGCCUGAUGCAGCGACGCCGCGUGAGCGAAGAAGUAUUUCGGUAUGUAAAGCUCUAUCAGCAGGGAAGAUAAUGACG
rnacentral:rRNA from 1 species